UACGAAGGGGGCUAGCGUUGCUCGGAAUGACUGGGCGUAAAGGGCGCGUAGGCGGCUCAUACAGUCAGAUGUGAAAUUCCUGGGCUUAACCUGGGGGCUGCAUUUGAUACGUGUGGGCUUGAGUGGGGAAGAGGGUCGUGGAAUUCCCAGUGUAGAGGUGAAAUUCGUAGAUAUUCGGAAGAACACCAGUGGCGAAGGCGGCUCACUGGCCCGGUACUGACGCUGAGGUGCGAAAGCGUGGGGAGCAAACAGG
rnacentral:rRNA from 1 species